rnacentral:sRNA from 1 species
GAAGGUGGAGCAGUUUUUAUCUUCUUAGUUUUUGUUUAUAUGUAUUUAUAACAAUUAUUCUAUUCUAGAUCAAUUAUUUGUGUAGAUCAAUUAUUUACACCUCUUGCAUAGAAACCACCAAAUACAGCAUAUGGGAUUCUUUAUUGCCUCAUGAUUUUUGUUUAUCUAUGCCAACAUUUACAGACGCCCAAGCCCUCAAUGCUGGGCUCCGUGCAGACGUGAGCCGGCACAAUUGUCUGCUUCUCCAUGUGCUCCCCAGAUAGAUUGGGUAUCCACAUCAAGAAUAGGAAGAAAAGCCAGACCGGGCACCGAACCAGCCAAGCGCUUGGUUCAUCGGUCCAGUUGGACUUCUCAAGUUUUGUAACAUUGCUUUCUGGUCCCUGCGACAACGUGCGAGGACAAACUUGAUUUUUAUGUUUACUAGUGAGCGUGCACGUGCAAAGCACAUCUUGCACGUCGAUAUAU